UUCUCUGUAACCAUAAGGGCUAGAAACAUUUUUUUUGAACUAAAAUCUUAGACAGUCUCACAAUCACAUGACUCCAGGAGCUGGGGCGUUAAGUACAAAACCAAAUAUUUAAUCACUUCCCUGCCACUGCAGGGGCUUGGGCACUUGUGCACCUUGGUCCCUCCUGUUCUCUCUCUGCCUGUGGCACACAAUAGUUUAGUCUCCUGAGGCUUUCAUACUUUGAUCAGGUUCGAGUUGUUGGCUUGGUGUGUGGGUGCUGAGUGGAGUUUGGUGGUCUGUGAUAUACAGGCUGGACUGGAUGAUCUGUUGUUCCCUUCUGGUCUUAAACUCUAUGACUCAAAAUAUCGCAGUGAAAUUGUAGGGAGUUGGCGGCACUGGGAUAUGGAAAGCUGGGCCCUUCUCUACAUAACCCACUGCCUUCCCAGCCGUUUGAAACCCAGCCUGGAGUGGCAACACGGCAGGGUAUGUGGUAUCUGGAUACUGCCAUUCUGCUGGAGAGGUGCUAUUCGGAGCACUCUCAAUUCAAGAUAGCUCCAGCUGCUAGGGCUGCGAACUGCGCCCUCUCAUGCACACUUCCACCGACAUUGUUUCCACUGUGACAACUGCCUUCCCCGCCCUCCAAGGAGCUGUGAGGGAGCAGGGAGGAAAAAUCUCAUUUUCUUUGGCACAGGAUCCAAUUAUGCUGGGUCACAAAUUCUUCCAAUUCUUACACUCAUUUUCACCAGAGAAAAUGGCAAAUUUUCACUAGUGAAUUCCCAGGAAGACUGUUUUCUCAUGCAAACUGAUAUUGGUUCCCUGAGAAAAGGGAACUUGAUUUAAAUUAUUAUAAUUGCUGGCGUAGUCUUCAGGCCGUUCUCGAUAUUUCCCAGCCCCCUUCUCAUCUUUACUGGACAGAAAGACUAUUAUUAUCGUCUUCCCGAAUGAAAGGGAAACAUUUAGCUUCAAAUAUAUGGCCCUGGCGCUGCACAGGAGAUGUUUGAAUUUAUUUCACACUAGUGGGAUGUGGAUGAAAGCUUCGGGCCAGCUGAAUUCAGCUUGUCACCUUCUUUCUCCUUCGGGGAGCUUUUUGUCUUUUGCUGUCAUCUUAGAAUUUCUCCCUGAGUCAGCCAUGCUGGGCAGGGAAAUUGGUGUGUCUUGGACAUAGCUAUGUCUUGAAGAAUUGACAAGGACAAGAAGAAUUAGCAAGAGUGGAGAAGGGAGGGGGAAACCAGCUGCUAUAUCCAAAGGUAUGUUGCUGUUGCAGGACAAAGCUGUCUGCCUUAAAGAAAGUAUUCCCCCUCAGCAUGGAUUACGGUGAUGCCGCAUACAAAUACACAGGUAGAUCCAUCACCCUAGGAGCAAAAUGGGAGGAGAGAAGUGCUAGGAGCUAGAGGAUGCACCAGAAUUUUGCUGGGACACUACAAAUGUUUGCAGAACUAGCAGGACUUCAUGUAAGGAUAAAUGAUAUAUUCACAAAAGGAGUGAAGUUCUUCAAACUAUAAUGUGAAAUGCACAGAUUCCAAGGCCAGAAGGGACCAUUGUGAUUCUGUAGUUUCUCCUCCCAUGUAACAAAGGUCAUAGAACUCCACCAAAAUAACUCCUAGAGCAGAACUUUUAGACAAACAUCCGAUUUUGAUUUAAAAAUUGUCAGUGAUGGAGAAUCUACCACAACCUUGGUAAAUUAUUCCAAUACUUAAUUACUCUCACCAUUAAAAAUGUAUGCCUUAUGUCCAGUCUGAAUUUGUCUAGCUUCAACUUCCAGCCACUGGAUCAUGUUAUACCUUUCUCUGCUAGACUGAAGAACUCAGUGUUAAAUAUUUGUUCCCCUUGAAGAUUGAUUCCCAGGCUCUCCUCUCCCCACUAGCCCUUCAUUGCCAGCACAUCUUACAACGUCAGGUCUCUCUGAUACAAUAAGAACUCUGCAAAUAAUGUUUAUUUUUCAGUUCACUGGCAGUUCUGAAAAAUUGGACAAAAAAUUCAGGGAACAUAAAAAUUGAAAAACAAAAUUGGAGUCCAAUAAAAUGUUUUGUUCCACCUGAGAUGAAAUAUUUCAUUUCAGAGCUUUUAAAAACUUUUAAAAAUAAAAGUAAAUGGAAAACCAGAAAAUUAUUUCUGAUUUUAAAAAAAUGGACACAUUUCAUUUUGAAAAUAAUGAAAUGAAACAGGUUAAUUUUUACAGAUUUUUUUUUCCAACCGAAACAAAUUGGAGACAUUGACACCAGUUCAUGAAAAGUUUUGGUUGACCUAAAUCUGCAUUUUUGUUGAAAAAGAGUUUCAGGUGAAAAAUGUUACCCAGCUCUAGAUACAAUUCAUUAAAGGUGGGUUUUAAACAGCUAUUUCCCACCCCCUGAUGAAAUAUGGGGGGAGAGAAGGGCAAAAGGAAGGAGCAUGGGGCUGGGAACCAGCAACAGCCUAAAUUCUAGUCCCAAAUCUGCUAUGGACUUACCGCUUGGCAUCAGGCAGGUCACAAAUGCAAUAUAUAACCAUGAUAUUGGGGAACUAUUUUGUGUUUUCUCGAGAGACUACAGGUUUCCGGAGUUGUCCACAGUCUGAUUGGCUGCCUUUCUCCAGGAGGGUGUGAAAUAGGGAAGGGGAGCCAAUCCGAGCUCCUGCAUGUGAUGUGGGACAGCCUGGACCUUCAGCAAGGGGACCAGUUAGAGUGCCCUCCUGCUCCACUCCCAGAGAGUGCUGCUGUGUGCUGAGAUCUGACUGGAGAGCAGCUGCCUUCCCCAGGCUUGGGAGGAGAUUGUCAGGGCAUUACUGCUCACCCCUUAGGCUCCCAAAGGAUUAUUGCAAGGUCUUUGGAGGACCUUGACAGUGACAUCACAACAGACUGAAAUCUGCACCAUCGAUGGCUCAGAUCCUGUAUUUGGGUUCAGGUCUGGACCCCCGCUGAACUUGAAAGGACUUUAUGCAAGGAGCCAUCUCAGCUGUAUAUUAAAGUGAGGGACCUCAGCUAAACUAACAGGCUGAAUUCCUACAGGUCCAAGAAUAAAUAGACCAAGAUGUUCCUGGUGCUUGAGCUAAUGGUGUCCAAAAAGGCAGGUGUGUCCAGUUCUUCCAUCAUUACCAGUUUGUUGUUGUCCCAGCUGGGUUGCCUGAACCAAAGUAACUGUCAUCCAACUGCAGUAGUCAAGACUCCCUGGCAUGGACAUCAGUUCUUUCCAUUCCUGAGACACAGGCGCAUAGAAAUGGAGGGCAGGAAGAGACCUCAAGAAGUCAUCUGGUCCAGCCCCCGGCACAGCUUGCUUUACAUGCAUGUUUUUAAGUCCUAAGCUUUCCUUGAAAAAACGAGACUCUCCACGAUUUUUCCUGCAAACUGUGAAAUUUUACAAAUUCUACAUUUCAGCAGCCACCAGCCAAUGCAGCCCUAGAGAAAGAGAUCUUGAUGGUGAAUUCCGGCUGUGAGGGAGCAAGGUGAGGCUUCAGGGAUGGGAUGAAGUGAGGUUUGGAAACUUGGCUUUGCAAAACGAGACAAGCAAGCACAACCUGCAACUCCACUUGAAGCAUGUUCGGCACACGGCGGACAAUGAGCAGAGGGGUUUGUAUGUAGCAACACCGCGAGAACGGUGGAUCCCCUAUGGUUGGGUUACGACCAAGUCAGGCUAUGAAGGAGCGGCACCGCCAUCUUGAAUUGGCUAAAUCUCACCAAUAGACGUUGGUCCA